rnacentral:rRNA from 1 species
CAGCAGCCGCGGGAAUACGAAGGGUGCAAGCGUUACUCGGAAUUACUGGGCGUAAAGCGUGCGUAGGUGGUGGUUUAAGUCCGUUGUGAAAGCCCUGGGCUCAACCUGGGAAUUGCAGUGGAUACUGGGUCACUAGAGUGUGGUAGAGGAUAGUGGAAUUUCCGGUGUAGCAGUGAAAUGCGUAGAGAUCGGAAGGAACAUCUGUGGCGAAGGCGACUAUCUGGGCCAACACUGACACUGAGGCACGAAAGCGUGGGGAGCAAACAGGAUUAGAUACCCCCGUAGUCCCUGUCUCUUAUAA